UCGACACACACUCCUGUACAGUCAUUUACACACACGCUGACAUACACACAUGCUUACACACACUGCUCACACACACACACACACACUGCUCCCAGGACCUGCCAGACUGGAUUCCCCAUGUGUUCUGGGCUUGAUUCCUUUCAAUGCAGAGGAGUCAAGAGAAGACUGCCAGCUGUGAAACUGUCACCAAAACAGCUGCUUCAGUGUGGGUCUUGCUAGGUCAGUGAAGAAGUCAGAGAUCUCAAAGAUUCCCACACUGGAUCAUGAAUUAAAUGUCAGGAUGUGAAACAUACACUAACACACGCUCUUGACUGAUACAUGUGAGAUGUUCCGUUACACAGUUUCAGCUCCAUUAGGUUUCUCCAGGACAUAGCUACGCAGAACAAUUGGAGCUUCUCACUCGAAAACCUGCAAAUCUCAUCAAUGGUUCUUUCCGGCUGAGUUCGGAGAGUCUCCUGUUCCCAGCGGCUGGGAGAUCACGUGGAAUUUGUCAGCGCUGUGGCUUCGUUGUUUAAUGCAAAACACUUCAGACCCAGCUCUUGUUGAUAAAACACCAGGCUCUUUAUCAGAAUGAGCCAUAACCUCAACAGAGAUAGACGGAGGAAAGCAUCCUGGCACUUGAGGAGAGCGAGACAGUGAGAGAGGAAGCCUGCUGUGGAGUUUUGGGUGCCAAAGCCGCAUUGUCUGCGCGGGGUGUGAAUAGUGGGCACACCAAAGCCAACGGGCAUCUGUUCUGAAAGCUGACACAAAGACAGACUGGCGGCCAUCUUGUGAUGAAGUCGUGCUAUCUCACGUGUGUCUCAGAUAAAUGCAAAUGGAAGACUCAGUGAACACGAGCGGUUUAAAGAUUAAUAGUUUUUUCUAAUACCUUUGUAAUUAUAUUUUAUU